rnacentral:misc_RNA from 1 species
CUUGGUCAUUUAGAGGAAGUAAAUGUCGUAACAAGGUCUCCGUUGGUGAACCAGCGGAGGGAUCAUUACCGAGUUUACAACUCCCAAACCCCUGUGAACAUACCUUUAUGUUGCCUCGGCGGAUCAGCCCGCGCCCCGUAAAACGGGACGGCCCGCCGCAGGAACCACAAAACUCUGAUUUUAGUGUAACUUCUGAGUCUAAAAAACAAAUAAAUCAAAACUUUCAACAACGGAUCUCUUGGUUCUGGCAUCGAUGAAGAACGCAGCAAAAUGCGAUAAGUAAUGUGAAUUGCAGAAUUCAGUGAAUCAUCGAAUCUUUGAACGCACAUUGCGCCCGCCAGUAUUCUGGCGGGCAUGCCUGUUCGAGCGUCAUUUCAACCCUCAAGCCCCCGGGUUUGGUGUUGGGGAUCGGGCUGUACUCCAGCCCGGCCCCGAAAUCUAGUGGCGGUCUCGCUGCAGCCUCCAUUGCGUAGUAGCUAACACCUCGCAACUGGAACGCGGCGCGGCCAAGCCGUUAAACCCCCAACUUCUGAAUGUUGACCUCGGAUCAGGUAGGAAUACCCGCUGAACUUAAGCAUAUCAAUAAGCGGAGGA